rnacentral:lncRNA from 1 species
AGGGCGAGUGUGUCCAUCUACCCUUGUAGACCAUUAAGCGGAAGCGUUUGUAACACAACUAUUGUAGUCGUACUCUUCACGAUCCAAUCACGAUCCACUCCGAUACAACGCCGAACGAACGACACCUCCGGGUGCAGCACAUGUGCGGCUCAAUGACAUCUCCACCUCCUUUAUCCAGCAAGCAAGGGAGGAGAAGUAGAUGGGAUCUUGACCAACACAACGACAUCCUGGAGAUGAUGGUGGAGUUGUGCCAGCAGGGCUUCGCCAAGCGUCUCCGAAAGUGUGAACCUUGAAGAACGUGAGAGACGGGAGGGAGAGGAAUGCCU